GAUGAACGCUAGCGGCAGGCUUAAUACAUGCAAGUCGAGGGGUAGCAAGAUUGUAGCAAUACAAUUGUUGACGACCGGCAAACGGGUGCGGAACACGUACACAACCUUCCUACAAGUGGGGAAUAGCCCAGAGAAAUUUGGAUUAAUACCCCGUAACAUAGCGAUGUGGCAUCACAUUGCUAUUAUAGCUUCGGCGCUUGUUGAUGGGUGUGACGGCUGAUUAGAUAGUUGGCGGGGUAACGGCCCACCAAGUCUACGAUCAGUAGCUGAUGUGAGAUCAUGAUCAGCCACACGGGCACGGAGACACGGGCCCGACUCCUACGGGAGGCAGCAGUAAGGAAUAUUGGACAAUGGACGCAAGUCUGAUCCAGCCAUGCCGCGUGAAGGAUUAAGGUCCUCUGGAUUGUAAACUUCUUUUAUAAGGGACGAAAAAAGGUCUUUCUAGAUCGUCUGACGGUACCUUAUGAAUAAGCACCGGCUAACUCCGUGCCAGCCGCCGCCGUAAUAC
rnacentral:rRNA from 1 species